rnacentral:rRNA from 1 species
UACGUAGGGGGCGAGCGUUGUCCGGAAUUAUUGGGCGUAAAGAGCGUGUAGGCGGCCUGACAAGUCUGCUGUGAAAACUCGAGGCUCAACCUCGAGAUGUCGGCGGAAACUGUCUGGCUAGAGUCCGGAAGAGGAGAGUGGAAUUCCUGGUGUAGCGGUGAAAUGCGCAGAUAUCAGGAAGAACACCUAUGGCGAAGGCAGCUCUCUGGGACGGUACUGACGCUGAGACGCGAAAGCGUGGGGAGCGAACAGG